GAAUAUUUUAGUUUUUUGAAAGGUGGAAGUGGACGCCAUUGCAGUCACAGAAGGAAAGAUAUGAGAAUCGUAAGCAGCUUAGAAUCGCAGAGUCCAAAAAAUCGUAACCAGAAUCGUAAUCGUAAUCAUAAUCACAAUCAUAAUCAUAUUCCUAAUCAUUGAGGAAGGGAGCUUCCAAAUCCGAAUUCGAAUGGCGAACCAAUCAUCUUCAUCUUCGUGCCCUAUCCUUUGCGCUUCUUUCAACCAGGAUCACACUUGCUUCGCUAUUGGCACCAGAGAUGGAUUCAGAAUAUUUGAUACCAAUUCAGGAAGGCUCUGCUACCAAAGAUUUGUUGGAGGUUUUGUUAUUGUUGAGAUGUUGUUCAGCUCAAGUCUUCUUGCUAUUGUUGGAGCUGGUGAUAAGCCAUCUCUGUCCCCACGACGUCUCUGUUUAUUUAAUACAACCACUUCUGCUGCUCUUAGGGAAUUGAACUUUCUAACUUCAAUACUUGCUGUUCGCAUGAAUAGACAAAGACUCGUUGUCAUUUUACAAGACAAAGCUUAUAUAUAUGAAUUAAAUAGCCUCACAAUCUUGGAGACUAUUGACACAGUGCCAAACAUUAAAGGGAUCUGCGCAUUUUCCACUUCUUUGGAUGCUUGCUAUUUGGCUCUUCCUGCUAGCACCACCAAAGGAUCUGCAUUGUUGUAUAAUGUCAUGGAUCGUCACUUACACUGUGAGAUUGAGGCUCAUCGUUCACCACUGGUUGCAAUGGUUCUUUCGUCAAAUGGAAUGUAUAUAGCCACAGCUUCCGAGCAAGGAACCAUAAUCAGAGUUCAUUUGGUUUCAGAUGCAACAAAGUCAUAUAGCUUUCGAAGGGGGUCUUAUCCAUCGACUAUUUAUUCUUUGUCAUUUGGGCCGUCAAAGCAGCUUCCGGAUAUUCUUGCAGCCUCGAGUUCUUCUGGUUCUGUUCAUGUUUUUACUCUUGCACAUGCUUCACAACCAAGACUCAAGAGAUCGAGUAGUAUUCUUGGAUCAAUUAUUCCUGAUGCUGUAAGCGAUGUGCUCGAUCCUGCUUUUCAUCAUGUACUUCAUAAUGUUGUUCCUGCAGGGAUCAAAAGCUCUGUGAAAUCUGCUGUUUCUCAUACAGCUAUGCGGUAAUUCGCAAGGUUGAUAAUGUCACUGACUCCUCAACAUCUGAAUUUUUAGCUUGUAGGGCCAUUAUGUCUGUAAUAACUUAUAACGGUCAGUUCAAGGAAUACAACUUAAGCGUUGAUGCCCACAAUGAUCUAACUUGGUCUCUGGGACGUGAAUUCAAUCUUUUGACAGUGACUCCGGACAAGGCUGUCAUUUCAUGAGUGGCAAAUAGUGGAUGCAUGUUAGCAUCAUACAGUUAGAAAAACAACUUGAACUACCCUUGCCGCUCUUUUUCUAUCCAAGGAAACAGUCUACAUUUGCUGACAUGACUGUGUUAUAACAUAUAUGGAGGAAUUAACGUUGUAAAUUUGUUCUAUUUUUCCUCCCCCAAAAUGUAUAUUCUCAUUUUUCUGAGAUACAACUCGGUCGCAGCUGAUGAUAUGUUGUAUUUAUGCAGUAUAGAAUUAUUUACGAUAAAGAAUUACUGGCCUAGCCGACCCCACUUAGUGGGACAAGACUUUGUUGUUGUUUUUUGUAAAGAAUUACUGGCCUCAAUUAGCGAAAUAUGGCGUAGGUGCCUCCAUUCAAUCUAA